CGACUUACUCAAGCGCACGGCCAAUCGGCGCCCUCGUUCCUGCCCAACGCGCGAGCCUUUGCCCGGACCCAUCGGGAUCCGUAUAGGGCAAAGACAGUACACUCUCCAGAAUGCAGUUUGUGUUGAAAAUUGGAAUCUAUGCAACAUGGCAGAUUGUAAGAUACAGGUCACUGAACAAGGACCUAAAAAGCGCCCAGGAGAAGUCAGAAGGAUGGAAAGGGAGAGAUGCUCUGCUGAGCCUUAAAUGGGAGCCACGGUCAAGAUUUCUAAAGAACGUUUGUGCUGGAUGUUGAACAGUGCCCAAGCGGAACAGGUUCUUGCCCCAUAGCUGUGUACUACAGCUGUCCUGCAAUUUACACUGGUGUAAAAAGUGCCCUUGACAUUAGGGCAGGACCCGCUUUAUGUAAACAAGGCCCACUGAGAUUCAUCCAGCCCCCAGCAAUUCUGACUUCUCUGCGGGUCCAGUCAUCGUUUACCCAAGCAGUGGAGUCUCCUUUUCCAACGCAACGGGCAAAGAGUCUCCAUUGAAGAACACCACAGGUUGAAGGGAAUGGAUCACAUUUUCUUGGGACCUGGGCUGUCUUACUGAUUUCCCUCAUGGGGGUGAGAGAGGAUGCUGCACCUGAUCCCCACCACCCCAAACAGACCCGUCCGGCACACACCCUUAAUAAAGCUUUUCUAUUUGGUUUAUCAUUAAAGUAUAUGAGGUAUAUGGCGGGCUAUCUCCAAAGAGCC